rnacentral:rRNA from 1 species
AACGAACACUGGCGGCAGGCCUAACACAUGCAAGUCGAACGCACCGCAAGGUAAGUGGCGCACGGGUGAGUAACACGUGGGAAUGUACCCUUUGGUUCGGAAUAACGUUUGGAAACGAACGCUAAUACCGGAUGAGCCCUGUGGGGGAAAGAUUUAUCGCCAAAGGAGCAGCCCGCGUCUGAUUAGCUAGUUGGUCGGGUAAAGGCCUACCAAGGCGACGAUCAGUAGCUGGUCUGAGAGGAUGAUCAGCCACACUGGGACUGAGACACGGCCCAGACUCCUACGGGAGGCAGCAGUGGGGAAUAUUGGACAAUGGGCGCAAGCCUGAUCCAGCCAUGCCGCGUGAGUGAUGAAGGCCUUCGGGUUGUAAAGCUCUUUCGCACACGACGAUGAUGACGGUAGUGUGAGAAGAAGCCCCGGCUAACUUCGUGCCAGCAGCCGCCGUAAAAC